rnacentral:lncRNA from 1 species
GGAAGGGCAGCGAGCAGUUUUUUAUUUUACUGCCUGCAUGCUGCCAGUCGAUGAAUCAGUAAUACUGCAUGGGAAACAGGCGUGAUGGGACGAAGGCCGAAGGUCACAUGAGAACUCGAGUAUGGAGGUGGAUGGCGACUCUCAGGUCACGGCAAGCCCAUUCACCAUGCCAGAUCAGUAUAUGCAGACCGGUGUGGAGGCAGACGAGCAGGGCUGGGUAUCCUGGGCCUGGUCCUUUGUUCCUGCCAUUGUUGACACUGGGGAUGAAGAUGGGGAGGCUGGAUUGUACGAGGAGGAAGGAAGUGGAGAAGGUCGCAGCAGCCAGCAGCAGCACGCUCCAAAGGACCCGGUGGUGUCAGUAGGCUUAUACUGCACCAAGGCUACAAUCACAUUUAAGUUGACUGAAACACAGUCAGAAAGCAGCUACUACAGCCCCCAGAAGGUGAAAUCGAGGGAGGUGCUCUGUGUGGAGCAGGAGGGCAUCACUGUGGAGGCAUUAAUGAAGGGUGAACCGUUCUUCAACUGUCAGAUCGGCUUUGUGGGCUGUCGAGCCUUGUGCCUGAAAGGGAUUAUGGGAGUACGGGACUUUGAGGAGAACAUGAACAGACAUGAAGGGGAUGCUGUGUUCUUCAGCUGUGGAGAAACCCUGAGCUCCAAGGGCAUGACCUACCUGACCAACUCCCUCUUCGACUACCGCAGCCCUGAGAACAACGGUGUUCGUGCUGAGUUUAUUUUGGAUACCAAUGUUCACAAGGAGACCUACACAGAGAUAGCAGGCAUGCAGCGCUUUGGUGCUUUCUUCCUGGAUUACCUGUAUACAAUGGAGAAUGGCAGCACUAAAGUCAGCAUAGGGCACCAGGAUUUCUCAUUGGGGAAAGAAGAGGUGGUGCCUCUGGUGCAGGAGGCAUCUGUGAAGCGUCUGGUGAUCGGGCCUCUGGACGUCCAGCUCAAUAGUAGUGCCGUGCACCGCAUCCUGAAGAUGGUGGCCUGCGCCAUGGACCACGAAUAUGAGCCCUACCUCAAACCACAGCCAGAUGUGGUGGAGGAAAAACGAGCACCCCUCACCCAGGAGGAAGUUUCAGGUCUAGAGGAGUUCAUCCCCACCCGCCUCACCUCCAUCACACUGCUGAAGACCACAGUCACCAUCUCCAUGGCCGAGUUCAACCUCCUGCACUCCAUUCUACCUCUUAUUAUGGGCCACAAGGCGGCUCCUGCCCAGACUGCUGCUCCUGUGUUUCAGCCAGUCAGGCCCCUGCCGUCAGUUCGCCUUCAGGUAGACAGAGUCAAUCUGGAACAUUCUGUGCCCAUGUACGCGCCAGAGCUGGUCAGUGUCGUCAGCAGCCUCAGCCAGCCUUCUGACAACCUGUUGCACCACUGCUACGCACACUGUUACCUCAAGGUGUUUGGGUUCCAGGCAGGCCUGACCUCCAUGGACAGCGAGGGUAACUUCCUCCCCCUGACUCCCAUCAUCCCCUCCUUCAGCACCGCUGUGUAUGGGAAGCUGCUCCAACUACAUGCACACUGGAAUGCAAGGUCCUCUGUUCCCGUCACUGAGUGCAUUUUUGAGCUGCCCCACUUCACACUGCAGGCCACCAGGGCCCAGACUCUGCUGCUGCAGGCCAUCUGCCAGAGCUGGACACACAGUUUGGGCAACGGGGCCACCCCAGGGGUCAGUGAGAAGCUGCUCAGUGAGGUCUACAAAACCUCAGGUACAAAAUGUCUCAGUCCAUCUCCCACUCUGGAUGCCUCGGUCCAGAGCGUGGAGCUCAAGUUCUGUCGCCGGGCGGCAGUGUGCUGUGCCUCGGGGACGGUGGGGGCCGUAAAAGUGUGUGCCAGGACCCUAGGGUCUACGGAAGGACAGAAGGAGCGUCUGGUUCCGCUGCUCCAGGGUCCGUCUGAUACCAAAGAGCUGCACCAGAGCCGCUGGCUCAAUGAGAUCCGCAAGCCGGAGUCCCUUCUAGCGCCUGACCUGCUGGCAUUCUCCAUCCAGGUGCCACAGCAGGGCCACGACUGCCGCAACUCCGGUGCGGUGCUGCUGCUCAGUGUGCAGGGGAUCGCGGUGAAUGUCGACCCGGUGGUCUGCACGUGGCUGCUGCAGCAGCCUCAGAAAGGGACCAGCAGCAGCAGCAGACAGCAGCAGGCAGCACAGGCCUCAGGAAUUACUCCCGUGGCGAAGGCAGCAGCCAAACGCAAGGAAGAUGAAGCAUCAGUCGGCAGCACUCCCCUCAUCAAGCAGCCGUCCAAUCAGGCGUCGGACUACGCCAGCAGCCCCGUCAAAACCAAAACUGUCACAGAGUCCCGCCCACUCUCAAUUCCCAUGAAGGUGAUGCCCUCCGCCACCGAGUCCUGGGGCUCCUCUGAGGAGCGCGUGAAGGAGCUCAUUGCUCACCUCUGGGACGCAGUCAAACGUCUCACGCUGCAGCUGGAACUGAAGUCCUGCUGCGUGUUUGUGCCCAACGACAGCCUCCCGUCACCCAGCACCAUAGUGAGUGGGGACAUCCCUGGCACCGUGCGCAGCUGGUACCACAAUCAGGCCACCAUGCCCGGGACACUGGUGGUCUGCUUGCCCCAGAUAAGUGUCAUGAGUGCGGGACACAAGUACAUGGAGCCCCUGCAGGAGCUUCCGUUUGUGGUGUGCAGACCCAUCCUGGAAGAAGGUGAUGCAUUCCCAUGGACAGUGAGUCUUAGCCAGUUCAGUGUAUACACCCUGUUGGGGCAGCAGCGCUCCCUUAGCCUCCUGGAGCCCAUGGGCUGUACCUCUACGCUGGCCGUCACCUCCCACAAACUGCAAGCCGCUGCCAGCCCUGAGCCCCGCCACGCCUUCAUUGUCUGUCUGCAUGUUGACCUGGAGCCGCUGCAUCUGAAGUGUUCGAAUCCGCAGGUGCAGUUGUUGUACGAACUGUUUCUCAGCUGGGACUUGACAUGGUCCCGCCUGCAGAAGAGGGGGUUCCUGCGCCAGACCUCCUCGUUCCCCGACCCCCCGUCCGCGGCCGCCACCCUCACCUCGCCGGUCCCCAGCAGCGUGGGCACCGCUCUGCCCGACACGAGCACCUGCAGCCCAUCGGCUGACUUUGGCACCCCCACUGAGGGGGACUCUGUACAAGCUACAGACGACUCUCCGUUCCUGGACACGGUCACCCUGGAACAGAAGACCAGCAGCAUUGGUGGGUCCAGUGGGAAGGUUAGUCUGUGGAUGCAGUGGAUGCUGCCCAAAGUCACGGUCAAGCUGUUUGCUCCAGAACACAGCGGCAAAAAAGCAGAGACCUGUGUACUCAGUGAGCUGGAGGACCUCAGUGCCUCUGUGGACGUGCAGGACAUCUACACCAAGAUCAAGUGCAAACUGGGCAGCUUCAACAUUGACUACUACAAGGGCAGGCCAGGUGAAGGCUGGCAUGCCGGCCAUUUUGAAGGAGUCAUUCUUCAGUGCAACGACAAAGCAGUGGUGAGGUCUUCAGCAGAGCAGCCAGCAUACGCUGGUAGCCCCUUCACACUGGAUGGAUGUGAAAGAAGCUGCACAGACAUCUUCGUUUCGCCCUGUUCAUGAGUUCCUCAGACCAGACCAGAAAGAUCAGAUUUGAGCUUUCAGUCAAAGGAAUUGAUGUAUCCAAUUCGUAGACUAGAUCUUUGUGCUUCUUUCCAUCUGUGCAGUGGAUUGUGGCUGAGAUGACCGUUGAGAUCCAACUCUGGGUCAGGGCCAGUGGCUCAAAGCUCAGCUGAUGGUUUUAAAGUUAUCUUCAAUGCUUAUCUUGUCUGCUCCACAAGCUUAGAAACUUUAUUUUGUAAAGGAGAGCAGGUUUGGUAGGUAAGCAGGACCCGAGGCGUUAAGACCAUCAGCCUUUCGAGCUGUUCUUCAAGCUGUUGCUAGCCAGCCUUCUGAUCUGUAUGGUUCUGUUGACCUCGCCCCAAUGAAAUCUCCAAAUGACUUAUUGAUUCCAAUCUGAUUGGCCUCUGUUUUUUUUCCUGUUUGUGUUCUUUCUCCUCCUUUUGUGUCCUGUCCUUCCCCCUCUCUCUGUGGCAGCCCAGAGGAAGUCUCCUCCUGUGUGGGCCGUAGCGGUGGGGUGGUCCUCUCUUGCACUGACAAGCUGAAUAGACGCACUGUGCUGGUGCGACCCGUCAGCAAGCAGGACCCUUUCAACCACUUCUCUGGCUUUUUUCCUCCUGUAAGAAUCUUCCAGAAAAGCUUCUACGUUAAUUAUCAAACCUGAAGAGCUUCCAUUAGCUUUGGCCACUGGCAAACACUAGCCAUUCCCAUAACUAGCUUUAAGUGCUUCAAGAGAGGUGUGUAAUGGGGAGAACGGCUGUGGUGUAGCCUGUACAGUUUAAAAGUCCUUCCAAGAAUCCGUAUUUUCUUUUAACCACUAUACAGUUGGUAUGC